UUAUUGCUCAUUAUUUUCCUUAUUUUAUUGCUCUUGUCAUAAUCAAACUCUCAUUCAGGCAUCGGAGGUGGCACAACCGCCACACCCCCUAUCUCACGGUCUGUCACUACUGAUCCUUUUUUGUUCUUAGCAGGCUUUGAAUCAAGUUGCUAUCAGGAUUGAUAACUGUCUCAACAUUACCCAUAAGAUAUAAAGCUCCCUUUAGCAUACAAAUUGAUUAAAUUGGUUAAUAAUGAGGGCAUUUUGUGCGUUGGGAUAGAGCCAAGUGCUCUUUUUAUGUUUUCUACUCUUAAUUUGUCAACCAAAUCUAUGUUGGGGUUCAGCAAAGCAAUAGCAGCGAUGGGGUUUAGCAGCCAGUGAGUGGUGGGCAGCGGGGUUCAGCGGAUUCUGGCUGUGGGGUGGGCCGCGUGGACGUUGCUUUCUAGCUGAGCGGCAGCGGCAGUAGGUUCAGCUAUGGCAGAUCUAAAAGGGAAUCAUCUGAGAAGAAGAGAAAAAGAGAGAAAGAAAGGUGUGUGAUGAGUUGAAAUUUUAAUUUUUAGUGGAUUUGGAUGUUAUCUAGUGUUUUUGUUUUAUUUUCUUAAGGUGAACUAGCUGAGGUGCCACAAACCUCAUUGAACGACUCAACCCGCUCACAGUAUAAUCCAAUAGCUCAACCGCCACCUUUCAAAUAUUAAACAAAACAUUUCAGCCAUUCAUUCUAUCCUUUAUAAACACAUUUUUAUCCCAAACCCUAGGGUUUCUCAAAUCCGUGAAGACAAAGCUUUAAGGUUUUUCACUCUUACUCUGAGCAGCGGAUCUCUUGGACCCUCACUUCCCUUCCAGUCAAGUUGAUGUUUCUAGGAAUCGGAAGGCUGUUGUCAUUCAUGUUCCCUACAGGUUGAGAAAAGGCUUCCGCAAGAUUCAUGUUAGGCUUGUGAGAGAGCUUGAGAAGAAGUUCAGUGGGAACUAGGAAGGUAAUCAAAGACUGGUUUAUUUUGGUUCUUACAAUUUCUUUCUGGCCUUUUGGUCCAAAGUACAUGCAAUUGUGGAAGAAACUUCAAUUCAUAAUGCUUUUCAUCUGACAGUGUUUGAGAACUUUUUUGUCAUUUUUUCUUGUACUCCCCUUGUAAUUAAUUUAUCUUAUCUGCCCUUUCUUCAA